rnacentral:rRNA from 1 species
GUGCCAGCCGCCGCGGUAAGACGAACCGUGCGAACGUUGUUCGGAAUCACUGGGCUUAAAGGGCGCGUAGGCGGGCUGUCAAGUCUGGGGUGAAAUGCCGCGGCUCAACCGUGGAACUGCCUCAGAUACUGACGGCCUCGAGGGAGGUAGGGGCGUGCGGAACUGUAGGUGGAGCGGUGAAAUGCGUUGAUAUCUACAGGAACUCCGGUGGCGAAAGCGGCGCGCUGGACCUCUUCUGACGCUGAGGCGCGAAAGCUAGGGGAGCAAACGGGAUUAGAUACCCCAGUAGUCC